ensembl:miRNA Mir3594 microRNA 3594
GGCAGAGCCCAGGGCAGAGCAGUGUGAACAGCGCUUGUCUUCACACCGCCUCUGCCCGCUAGUGU